rnacentral:rRNA from 1 species
AUGACCUUUGGUCUUAGAAUGACUUGUAUGAUGGAGGCUGCAAUGUAUCGCCAUUGGUCAGAUCUUCAGCCGGAACUCCUGGGCCUUGUUCUCAAGUACCUCCCCUCCCUGUCUGACCGUGUUCGUCUAAGAGCAGUCUGUCGCACCUGGCGCUCUAAUAGUAUGUUGCAGCCCCUUCCUCUGCCAUUCCCGUGGCUCACCCUCCCAGACGGUACUUUCCUCAGCAUUCCAGGUAGUGAAAUUCACCGCAUACCUGUACCAGAAGGUGCUUGUUGCCAAGGCUCCAUUGACAACUGGCUAUUCCUCAUUAACAAUGCUAAUAUGUGCUCAUUGAUGAAUCCUUUCUCCAAGACCGCACUGGAGCUUCCUAAUCUAGUGGCUGUUUGGGAGCGUGAGAUACGUUACCACUCUGACCGUAAACCAAUUUUCUAUAAGUUGGUGGUGCCCUCUCCCCUGGACUCGUCACCUCAUUCCCCUGUCGUUGCACUAAUCAUGGACGAUGGUUGUUUCCAUACACUUUGUAUUAGCCAGCCACCAAUUGCUACUGCCUCGCUCAGAGAUAAUAAGGAUCCACGAUUGUUCCUUAGUGAUGUCGUAUUCUUCAACGGGAAGUUAUACGCAUGGGGUCGCUUCGGGCAGCUAUUCAUCAUUGAUUUGGGCAAUGACCGUACCAUUUCAUCCAUCAGCUGCAUAAUUGACUCUUUGGGUGAUAUAGGUGGAACACCGCAACAUUUGUCCAUAGCAGAGGAGUACAUGGUAAAACCAUAUCUUGUUGAAUGUGGUGGUAAACUGUUGCUGGUGGCAAGAUGGUUUCGCUGCACGCCAAGUUCGACAAGCUACGAUGUCUUUGAACAUAAAUGUACUGCCGCAUUUCAGGUCUUUGAGGCAGACCUGCACACCAGCCCCGGUCGAUGGAGAAAGGCCACUGAGUUGGGUGGCCAUGCGCUCUUUCUUGGCCAACAUGGCUCCAAGUGCCUGCCUGCUGUGGGAUGCAGUGGAUACGACGAGGAUUGCAUCUACUUCAUGUGUGACUAUGUCUGGCCGACCUCUUCUGCAAAUCCUCUUUGCGACUCUGGUGUGUACAGCAUGAGGGACGGCACAAUCACGCCGUUGAUGUCAGAGGCAGCAGCAGCACCGCUGCAGCGUGUUGGACAGUGGCGGCCCACAUGGUUCUUCCCUCCUGAAGCUGUGUGA